rnacentral:misc_RNA from 1 species
AAUAUCUCCAGAACAUCCAAUGUAGAAAAGAAUUCCUUCUUAGCCUUCAUUGUCUGGGCAUUGUCCAGUAAUGUUCCAUCCAAGUGAACUGGAAACAACAAGUAUGCUUCAUGUUUCACAGAUCCGUCAGUAGAUGACUUAACUGCAAUUAUAGCAUGGUCAAGAAGUGGAAGUAGAUUGGGAUGACUAAAAAGCGACGAAACACGAAUCUCCUCCCUCACCAUCUCCAGCUGUUCACUAUUCUGAAUAAGAACUUUUUUCAUGGCAUAAGUUCCGUCAUCUGAGAUGUGAGAAGGGUCUUUGAAUUUCUUGGAAAUUCCAGGGUUAGAAGGAUCAGAAAGGACUUCUUUAACAAGGAAGACAUAGGCAAAACCACCUUCAC